rnacentral:misc_RNA from 1 species
GAAAUGCGAUAAGUAAUGUGAAUUGCAGAAUUCAGUGAAUCAUCGAAUCUUUGAACGCACAUUGCGCCCGCCAGUAUUCUGGCGGGCAUGCCUGUUCGAGCGUCAUUUCAACCAUCAAGCCCCCGGCUUGUGUUGGGGACCUGCGGCUGCCCGCAGGCCCUGAAAAACAGUGGCGGGCUCGCUGUCACACCGAGCGUAGUAGCAUACAUUCUCGCUCAGGGCGUGCUGCGGGUUCCGGCCGUUAAACGACCUUCAUAACCCAAGGUUGACCUCGGAUCAGGUAGGAAGACCCGCUGAACCUAAGC